rnacentral:lncRNA from 1 species
CAGAAUCAAGCGUACACAUUCUUAUACAGACAAAUUACCAAUCAUCAGAAAACAUAAGUACCCUGUAUACUUAGUUUAUUUUGCUUCAAUUCAAAAAAAAAAUGUAGAGAGAAAAACUCUGAAAAAAAGAAAUUAAAGCUUACAUCAAGUCUUUUCAUAAGCUCUUCUGGAAAAUCAUAGGGUUUCAGAAGCUCAGUCCCAUACUUUGUGAGGAAUUUCUUCAACUUCUCAACAAUUGAUGAAUCUGGGGCAUCAGCACCACUCAUGUUUCUGCUGAGAGAAUGAAGCACCUAUCUCUUUAGAAGUUGAAAGUUCAAGAAAAGAGAGCAAAAUGCAGAAAAUAUGGAGAGGGGUUGCUUUAUAAGGGACAGAUAAGCGAAUCAAGAUUUUGAAUUGUGCAAAAUGUAAAGCAUGCAGCAACAACAUAGAAAGAAUCUUUUAAAAAAGCUUCAUUUUUAAAAAAUAUAUAUAUAUAUUUAUCUUGUGAAUGCAACUUAUUUCAUUGUCUAGCAAACAAAAGUUGUUGUAAUUUGUUGGGAAAACGCCAUAAAUAAGAGAGAGAAACUCGAGAGCAUUUGUUUCAAUUGAUUUAUUUACUUAGGUAAGUAAAAUCCAGUGAGAAGAUUUUGGUAUCAAGCACUGUCAAAAAUAAUUAAUGUGUAGCUAAUGUACAGCGCUGAGAAUACUAUAAGCAAUCAAGUGUAAGCAAUAUGUAACAAUCAGGAAUUUGACAGUACAAGGUAUUCUAAAAAUAAUUAUGUGGUUGCAGUAAACCAAGUAUUACAGUAAAGUAAUUGCUGUUACUCCUUUGUGAUUGCAGUAAUUUUCUAGCAGGAUAAUUUGUCAGCAUUGUUUGUUUUUACUUGCUCUCAUAAAAAAUGCUAUUCAUAUCAUUAAUGCCUUCAGAUUACUUUCCAAACUACUCCAUAAGGUCAAACUUUUUCCUUAUUAAUUCAAUUAAUAUAAAUACUGCAUUAAAUACAAUCUUCAUAUUCUGUGCCUUCAUUUUUUUCCCUUUUCCCUUUUAUGUCUACAUUAAACAACUUCAAAAUUAUAGCAAGCUGCUCCAACUUUACCCUUAUGCGCUAUUGUCUCUCUCUCUUUUACAUGCAUUCCAAACCUGCCUCAGGUAGACCCAAAUAUAGUUUGAACUGAAAGGUCCAUUCAAAAGAACAAGAGGCAAUCUCGUACAAGAAAGUGAAAUGCCACAACAAUUUAGGUGCAAUCACAAUAUCUCCUGCAUCAACUGAAAGUUUAUACCCCCCGGCAGUAGAUGUAACACAUAAAAACCUCAUACCCAUGGCGAAAGGCACGAAUCGGCUGCUUGUUCUGAUUAUAAUCAGCACAAAUCUAAAUUCUCUAGCAUUUUCUUGGUCCAAUAUCUCUUCUGCUUGUUGUACCUUAUGCUUAGAUUGGAAAUUUUUUAGUAAAUGCAGUUCAAGCUCUAGCUACCUAUGGUUGUUCUCAGAAUCCAACUCCCAGCCAAUUUUCAUUCCUAAUAUGGGCCCCAUCCUUAUUUAGCAUCUUCAAUAAAUCUUCCAGGGUAACAUCAAACCAAGAUAAGCAAAUUUAUUUGAGGGCACCAAAUUGAACUGUAUAUUUCAAGAAAAGUUUUAAGAGUCCAAAUCUACUUAGCAAUAUUCCAAUAUCUUACAAUGCAAUUCAUCUUAUAACAUCUUGCCCGAAGCCACAGAGACAACAGACCAGUACCUCAUCCAAAGGUGGACAUGCCAGUUUUAUAGAUCAAGGUACACAUUUUUUUUCUUUUACUUGCGGAGAGUGAUUUUGGGGAUGAACCUGGUCACUUACCUGUAUAAAGGUGAUGAAUACACCUGAGCGACAUGGCUCGUGGUAGAUCAAGGUACACUUGAGCCUUCCUGGCUUUACUAGUUAAAUUGUGGUCCCCUCCUUUUUAAGUAAUAGUUGCAUUAGUAACUAGCAACAGGUAUACAGAGAAUCACAAAAAUAAAUAUGAAAAAGCACUAUAUGAGCACUAACAAUUUUUUAAAUAAGAACAAAACCAUUUUGGGCCACCAUGAAGAGCAAGCAAUCUUUUUAAAAAGAACGUAAUUUCCAUGAUUUUGGGAAAGAGAAUGAGCGAAAAGGGGAAAAAAUAGACUAAACAAAUGAACGAAUGUGUUAAAAGGGAAAAGAAUAUCAUAAGUAUAUUUGUAUCAGCUUGAUAUAAGCUAAGAAGCAUGGGAACGGAUACGUAAUACGGAUACGAUAUGGUACGGGGACGUACAUACGUCAUUUUUCCAAAAAUCAAGAUACGAUACGUCAAAAAUACAUUUUAGUUUUUUUUUUAAAUAUAUUUUAUAUAUAUUAUAAAUUCAUAAUUCACCAAGAAUAUAAGUAAAACACUACUAAUUCAUCAUAACAAAGUUCCAAAUAGCAAAUAAAACAGUCUUAAUAGAUAAUACUUAAUAAAACACAAUAAAAUGUUAGUAGCCCUUUUCACUCAUCAUCGUCUUUCUCCUCCUCCUCUCUUCUCUUCCCACAGGGAUGUGGUGGAAGAAGAUGUAGAACUAGAAUUUGUAGUAUUCAUGGCUGCCAAUUCAAAUAAAAAACAUAAAUCAAACUUCAAUUCAAAUAAACCCACUGCCCAAUUCAAAAUACCCAAACCAACGAAUUGAAAUAAACCCACUGCCCAAUUCAAAAAAAUACCCACGCCACUGCCAAUUCGAAAUUAAACUUCAAUCCAACAAAACCCAAAGCCAAUUUCAGCCAAUCUUCAUACAUACCCACUGCCCAAGCCAAUAAAAGAGAUUAGAGCAAUACCUUUAGUUGUUAAGGCGGCGCGACUGCUCCAAGCGCACAGGGCGGCGCGACGGCGAGCGGCGGGGUGGCGCAGGGGUGGGUCAGAGAGGAGAAGAGGGGAGAACGUUAAUUGUAAGUGUGGGUGGAGGCGCGAAUUAGGACUUAAGAGGUUAGAAGUUUUAAAUUUUAUUAAAAACGUAUUUUUAAGAGAAAUACGUAUCUGACCGUAUUGUCAACGUAUUUUC